AAGAGAGUGAAGGGGCUUCCUUCAGCCCAUGCAUAUAUUUGGGAUCUAUAUGAGUACUCAUUCAUUCAUCAGUUAAUACAAUAUAUGAAUGAAGUGGAAGAUAUAUGUUUUGCAUUGAUCCCUAUGUAUAUGUGCUUGGACUGAAGGGGAGCUCCUUCUUUCUCUGUU
rnacentral:pre_miRNA from 1 species